UCACCCCCUUCACCGCUUAUUAUCUUCUCAUCCGGCCAAAGAUCCAAUCCCUCCAAUGCCCCCUCAGACUUCAUACCAAUGUACUGUUCCUCUUCCACACGGAGCAAAUCGCUUCAGAUUAGCUUCCGGCGACCUGCUGGGCUACGAUUCUCAUUGGAUCCGCUCAAUAUCUUGCGCCAAGGAGGGCACGCGGUGGCGCUGUCGCACAGAGAUGCCGGCACAGGCGAGUUGCCGCGAGGUCAGCCAUGUAGCCGUCGACCUGCGUGGAUUAGCGCGGCGUGACAAACACUAAGGAGUGGAAGCUGGGUGCAUUAGUGCCGCAAGUAGCAACGCAGGUAUUGGAGGCUUCUAUAAUAUCGUAUCUUAGAAGAGUUCUGAUUCAUUACCUCAUCUGUUGGGUUGUCGUGCCUAAUUCCAGAAACCAUGGUGUUCAUAAGGAGGUUGCAAAGACAUGCAGGGAUGGGAAGACGUAAAUAUACCUCAAGAUUUCAGCUAUAUAUUACCCAAAGUUGAUGUUUCUGUCGUUUCUUCUUCCGUCCUUCGAUUUGCUGGGUGUCCUGCCGUAUGUCGCCCCUUCGAUUUGUGUCGCGUGAACUGGCUGGUGUAACCGAUCGUUCUUGGCGUGUGUUGAUAUGUUGUUGUGUUGAACUCCCUUCAAUCUUGGUAAACAUGGUGUAGGGUGUUCUGGCAUCUGCUAAUCCAUGGGUGUUCUGGGGUGUUUGCCCCAACCUUUAUAUUAGUCCAAAGGAGUUUGAAUUGUGUACGUAUAACUAUCCGUUGUAAAUUAUUCUGUGUAAUAGUAUACGACUGUGUCCUUGUGCCUA